GGAAUUUUGGACAAUGGGGGCAACCCUGAUCCAGCCAUUCCGCGUGAGUGAAGAAGGCCUUCGGGUUGUAAAGCUCUUUCGCAAGGGAAGAAAACUUAUGAUCGAAUAAAUCAUGAGGCUGACGGUACCUUGAUAAGAAGCACCGGCUAACUACGUGCCAGCAGCCGCGGUAAUACGUAGGGUGCGAGCGUUAAUCGGAAUUACUGGGCGUAAAGCGUGCGCAGGCGGUUUUGUAAGUCGGAUGUGAAAUCCCCGGGCUCAACCUGGGAACUGCGUUCGAAACUGCAAGGCUAGAGUGUGUCAGAGGGGGGUAGAAUUCCACGUGUAGCAGUGAAAUGCGUAGAGAUGUGGAGGAAUACCAAUGGCGAAGGCAGCCCCCUGGGAUAACACUGACGCUCAUGCACGAAAGCGUGGGGAGCAAACAGGAUUAGAUACCCUGGUAGUCCACGCCCUAAACGAUGUCAGCUAGUUGUUGGUAGAGUAAAAUCUAUGAGUAACGUAGCUAACGCGUGAAGUUGACCGCCUGGGGAGUACGGUCGCAAGAUUAAAACUCAAAUGAAUUGACGG
rnacentral:rRNA from 1 species